GGGGGGGGCGGGCCCGAAAUCCGCCUCUGAAAAUGCCUUAUUUAAAAGGUUCUCAAUUUAUUGCAAUGGAAAUGACUAAAAAUUAUGUUUCCAAUCAAUAAAGGACCAUAACUCCUGAAUAGCAAAAGGGCAAGUCAUCAAUAUCCACCUUGACCUACAAUGUGUUAUAGGUAACAAUAUAUCAAAAUUAAAUAAAACAUUAGUUAAUCAGAUAUCAAGCUAUUGCACAAGAAAACAUCAUAAAGUGGCAUUAUUAAAUCAAUCAGAGACCAUAACUCCAGAAUAGCAAAAGGCAAGUCAUCAACAUCCACCUUGACCUCCAUUGUGUUAUCGGUAACAAAAACUAAAAUUUUAAAAAUCAUUGUUUAAUCAGAUCUCAUGUUAUUGCACAAAGACAACAUAAAGUGGCAUUUUUAAAUCAAUCAAGGACCAUAACUCUAGAAUAGCAAAAGUGACCACCAUUAUUAUGAAAGAUGAUCUCCAUGUCAGUAGCAUCAUAAUAAUAUGUGUAAAGUAUUGGUGAUGUUUAUAAUUCAUGGCACAGAAACAGAUGGACAUAAGCCCAAACAUGCCCUACCCUCCCUUGUACAACUCAAAAUUAAUGACCAAAGGAAAACAUGUCAAAAAUUAAUUGUGAAAACAAAAUAAAGAUUUGUGCCAUUAGCACAUGAUAGGUUCAACGAAUAAUAUUCCAUUACUUCUCAAUGUCAUAUCAUAAAUUCAUAAAAAAUAAAGGGAGCUUACCUCAAUAGAUAUAAACAAUAAACCAAAGUUUCUUGAAAAUUGGUCAAAGCAUUUUUGAGGUAUUAUCACACAGGCGACUAACACGGCUUUC
rnacentral:lncRNA from 1 species